rnacentral:lncRNA from 1 species
UGUUGUGUCAUGUGUUCUAUUGUUUAUCUGUUUGUCUUUUUCAUUUUAAGCCAUGGCGUUGUCAGUUUAUUUUCGAUUUAUGAGUUUGACUGUCCCUCUGGUAUCUUUCGUCCCUCUUUUUUUCUUUGAUAGUCUUAACUCCUCUGAUUCACCACAAGCAUCAAUUAAAGUCUUUAUACUAUUUUCCUGAACCGUGUCUGAACUAGCAGGAUAUGCUCGUCU